UACGAAGGGGGCUAGCGUUGUUCGGAAUUACUGGGCGUAAAGCGCGCGCAGGCGGUUCUUUAAGUCAGGGGUGAAAGCCCAGAGCUCAACUCUGGAAUUGCCUUUGAAACUAGAGAACUUGGGUACGGGAGAGGUGAGUGGAAUUCCGAGUGUAGAGGUGAAAUUCGUAGAUAUUCGGAAGAACACCAGUGGCGAAGGCGGCUCACUGGACCGGUAUUGACGCUGAGGUGCGAAAGCGUGGGGAGCAAACAGG
rnacentral:rRNA from 1 species